CAGUAGCCGCGGUAAUCCGAAGGGUGCAAGCGUUAAUCGGAAUUACUGGGCGUAAAGCGUGCGUAGGCGGUGAGUUAAGUCUGCUGUGAAAUCCCUGGGCUCAACCUGGGAAUUGCGAUGGAUACUGGGCGACUAGAGUGCGGUAGAGGAUAGUGGAAUUUCCGGUGUAGCAGUGAAAUGCGUAGAGAUCGGAAGGAACAUCUGUGGCGAAGGCGACUAUCUGGGCCAACACUGACACUGAGACACGAAAGCGUGGGGAGCAAACAGGAUUAGAUACCCCCGUAGUCCCUGUCUCUUAUAA
rnacentral:rRNA from 1 species